UACAGAGGUCUCAAGCGUUGUUCGGAUUCAUUGGGCGUAAAGGGCUCGUAGGCGGUCCAUCGCGUCGGGAGUGAAAAGCUGGGGCUUAACCCCAGUCCUGCUUUCGAUACGGGUGGACUAGAGGUAGGCAGGGGAGACUGGAAUUCCUGGUGUAGCGGUGAAAUGCGCAGAUAUCAGGAGGAACACCGGUGGCGAAGGCGGGUCUCUGGGCCGAUACUGACGCUGAGGAGCGAAAGCGUGGGGAGCGAACAGG
rnacentral:rRNA from 1 species